rnacentral:rRNA from 1 species
UACGGAAGAUGCGAGCGUUAUCCGGAUUUAUUGGGUUUAAAGGGAGCGUAGGCGGAUUUUUAAGUCUGCGGUAAAAUGGCCGUGCUCAACGCGGUCCCGCCGUGGAAACUGGGAAUCUUGAAUGUGCACAAGGAAGGUGGAAUUCGUGGUGUAGCGGUGAAAUGCUUAGAUAUCACGAAGAACUCCGAUUGCGAAGGCAGCCUUCUGGGGCAUGAUUGACGCUGAGGCUCGAAAGCGCGGGAAUC